UGUAUUAGGUUGGUGCAAAAGUAAUUGCGGUUUUUGCCAUUGAAAGUAAUGGCCAAAACUGCAAUUACUUUUGCACCAACCUAA
ensembl:miRNA